GUCCGCGUAGCUCAAUUGGAUAGAGCGUUGCCCUCCGAAGGCAAAGGUUGCAGGUUCGAAUCCCGCCGUGGACG
rnacentral:tRNA from 1 species